CAGACGAACGCGGCGGCGUGCNUAAUACAUGCAAGUCGAGCGAGCUGAACCAACAGAUUCACUUCGGUGAUGACGUUGGGAACGCGAGCGGCGGAUGGGUGAGUAACAUGUGGGGAACUGCCCCAUAGUCUGGGAUACCACUUGGAAACAGGUGCUAAUACCGGAUAAGAAAGCAGAUCGCAUGAUCAGCUUAUAAAAGGCGGCGUAAGCUGUCGCUAUGGGAUGGCCCCGCGGUGCAUUAGCUAGUUGGUAGGGUAACGGCCUACCAAGGCAAUGAUGCAUAGCCGAGUUGAGAGACUGAUCGGCCACAUCGGGACUGAGACACGGCCCAAACUCCUACGGGAGGCAGCAGUAGGGAAUCUUCCACAAUGGACGAAAGUCUGAUGGAGCAACGCCGCGUGAGUGAAGAAGGUUUUCGGAUCGUAAAGCUCUGUUGUUGGUGAAGAAGGAUAGAGGUAGUAACUGGCCUUUAUUUGACGGUAAUCAACCAGAAAGUCACGGCUAACUACGUGCCAGCAGCCGCGGUAAUACGUAGGUGGCCAGCGUUGUCCGGAUUUAUUGGGCGUAAAGCGAGCGCAGGCGGAAGAAUAAGUCUGAUGUGAAAGCCCUCGGCUUAACCGAGGAACUGCAUCGGAAACUGUUUUUCUUGAGUGCAGAAGAGGAGAGUGGAACUCCAUGUGUAGCGGUGGAAUGCGUAGAUAUAUGGAAGAACACCAGUGGCGAAGGCGGCUCUCUGGUCUGCAACUGACGCUGAGGCUCGAAAGCAUGGGUAGCGAACAGGAUUAGAUACCCUGGUAGUCCAUGCCGUAAACGAUGAGUGCUAAGUGUUGGGAGGUUUCCGCCUCUCAGUGCUGCAGCUAACGCAUUAAGCACUCCGCCUGGGGAGUACGACCGCAAGGUUGAAACUCAAAGGAAUUGACGGGGGCCCGCACAAGCGGUGGAGCAUGUGGUUUAAUUCGAAGCAACGCGAAGAACCUUACCAGGUCUUGACAUCUAGUGCAAUCCGUAGAGAUACGGAGUUCCCUUCGGGGACACUAAGACAGGUGGUGCAUGGCUGUCGUCAGCUCGUGUCGUGAGAUGUUGGGGUUAAGUCCCGCAACGAGCGCAAACCCUUGUCAUUUAGUUUGCCAGCAUUUAAGUUUGGGCCACUCUAAUGAGACUGCCCGGGUGACAAACCCGAAGGAGGGUGGGGGGAUGACCGUCAAGUCAUUCAAUGCCCCUUUAUUGACCUGGGCUACCACACGUUGCUAACAAUGGACAGUAACAACGAGGGAGCAAGCCUGCGAAAGGCAAGCGAAUCUCUAAAAGCUGUUCUCAGUUCGGACUGCAGUCUGCAACUCGACUGCACGAAGCUGGAAUCGCUAGUAAUCGCGGAUCAGCACGCGCGCGUGGUAAUACACUUUCCCGGGCCCUUGUANACACCCGCCCGUCACACCAUGGGAGUCUGCAUGCCCAAGCCNGUNNCUACCUUUCGGANNNCGUCUANGCA
rnacentral:rRNA from 1 species